CAUUACCGAGUUGAUUCGGGCUCCGGCCCGAUCCCUCCCACCCUUUGUGUACCUACCUCUGUUGCUUUGGCGGGCCGCGGUCCUCCGCGGCCGCCCCCCUCCCCGGGGGGUGGCCAGCGCCCGCCAGAGGACCAUCAAACUCCAGUCAGUAAACGAUGCAGUCUGAAAAACAUUUAAUAAACUAAAACUUUCAACAACGGAUCUCUUGGUUCUGGCAUCGAUGAAGAACGCAGCGAAAUGCGAUAAGUAAUGUGAAUUGCAGAAUUCAGUGAAUCAUCGAAUCUUUGAACGCACAUUGCGCCCUUUGGUAUUCCGAAGGGCAUGCCUGUUCGAGCGUCAUUACAACCCUCAAGCUCUGCUUGGUAUUGGGCACCGUCCUUUGCGGGCGCGCCUCAAAGACCUCGGCGGUGGCGUCUUGCCUCAAGCGUAGUAGAACAUACAUCUCGCUUCGGAGCGCAGGGCGUCGCCCGCCGGACGAACCUUCUGAACUUUUCUCAAGGUUGACCUCGGAUCAGGUAGGGAUACCCGCUGAACUUAAGCAUAUCAAUAAGCGGAGGAA
rnacentral:misc_RNA from 1 species